UACGAAGGGGGCUAGCGUUGCUCGGAAUCACUGGGCGUAAAGGGUGCGUAGGCGGGUCUUUUAAGUCAGGGGUGAAAUCCUGGAGCUCAACUCCAGAACUGCCUUUGAUACUGAAGAUCUUGAGUUCGGGAGAGGUGAGUGGAACUGCGAGUGUAGAGGUGAAAUUCGUAGAUAUUCGCAAAGAACACCAGUGGCGAAGGCGGCUCACUGGCCCGGUACUGACGCUGAGGUGCGAAAGCGUGGGGAGCAAACAGG
rnacentral:rRNA from 1 species